rnacentral:rRNA from 1 species
GACGAACGCUGGCGGCGUGCCUAAUACAUGCAAGUAGAACGCUGAAGAGAGGAGCUUACUCUUCUUGGAUGAGUUGCGAACGGGUGAGUAACGCGUAGGUAACCUGCCUUGUAGCGGGGGAUAACUAUUGGAAACGAUAGCUAGUACCGCAUAACAAUGGAUGACACAUGUCAUUUAUUUGAAAGGGGCAAUUGCUCCACUACAAGAUGGACCUGCGUUGUAUUAGCUAGUAGGUGAGGUAAUGGCUCACCUAGGCGACGAUACAUAGCCGACCUGAGAGGGUGAUCGGCCACACUGGGACUGAGACACGGCCCAGACUCCUACGGGAGGCAGCAGUAGGGAAUCUUCGGCAAUGGGGGCAACCCUGACCGAGCAACGCCGCGUGAGUGAAGAAGGUUUUCGGAUCGUAAAGCUCUGUUGUAAGUCAAGAACGGGUGUGAGAGUGGAAAGUUCACACUGUGACGGUAGCUUACCAGAAAGGGACGGCUAACUACGU